UGUUUUACUGGUUAACAUGGUAGUUUGACUUUUGAGGUCAGUCAUCCACGUUAAGCGAUGAUUACCUCUAUAAUUGGAAGCAUCACAUGAACCAAACCAUCACUCUUGGCAACUGAUACAUUCUCUUUUCUUGUUCAUUUCCUAUGUUAUGUGUGAUAUGUUGAAAUUUGACCACUGAAUGUGCAGGUGCUUUUGUUGGUUGUUCCCUUGAAGGGAGCAUCGUCAGUACUCGCACAUAUGAGAAUUCUCGAUUUUAUGGUAGCCAGUCUGUGACUGCAUCGGACAUACUUCUUGCGAAAAUGCCUAGGCCUCCUGCUGCAGCCAUUCUGUAUCGCGCUCUGGCUGAUCUAUAUAAGAAGCAUGAAAGGUGAUGCAGUUUGUUGUAGAUAAAAUUAUUUGCAUAAACAAUCAAUAAAAAUGUGGAUGAAAUGAUUGAUCAACAUUUUAUUGAUCGAUCAGUUACACAUUGUUGCCAUUCUUUGUCAAUGUAAAUAAUAAGUGUGGUGUAAAUUGUUCAUGUGUAAAUUGCGAUGUAUAUAAUGAUUGAUAAUAUCAAAACUCUAUGCUGUCUCCGCGAUGUCUGAAAUUCUUACAUUGUUCAUAGGCCAAACUUGUACAAAAGAAAGCCAAAUUCAUUUCGGUUGCUUGUUUUUCUGGCAAUAGAGAUCCUACAGCAAGUGCCACCUUUUGCGUGUUAGGGAAUGCAAGAAAUUUCAAAGACAUCUAUAUGAAAACAGUAAUUUCAGGUUUUUCUUUUUAAAUAAGUGAUUAUCAUGGGAAUAUAUGAUAAGGUUGUAAUGUCUCGGGUUUUUUUUUUUUUUUUUUUUCUUUCUCUUUUCACUUCUAAUAGCGUAAUUAAAACAACCAAUUCCAUAAUCAAAUUAGUCAUGUACAUAAAAUUGGAUUGCUUGUUUUUCUGGCAAUAGAGAUCCUACAGCAAGUGCCACCUUUUGCGUGUUAGGGAAUGCAAGAAAUUUCA
rnacentral:lncRNA from 1 species